rnacentral:rRNA from 1 species
AGAGUUUGAUCCUGGCUCAGAACGAACGCUGGCGGCGUGCUUAACACAUGCAAGUCGAACGCGAAAGGGACUUCGGUCCUGAGUAAAGUGGCGCACGGGUGAGUAACACGUAGAUAAUCUACCUUUGAACCUGGGAUAACUAAUCGAAAGGUUAGCUAAUACCGGAUGAAGUUAAUCGGCAUAAGUUGAUUGAUGAAAGACUGCCUAUCCUUGGAAGCAGUUGUUUGGAGAUGAGUUUGCGGACCAUUAGCUAGUUGGUGGGGUAAAGGCCUACCAAGGCGAUGAUGGUUAGCUGGUCUGAGAGGAUGAUCAGCCACACUGGAACUGAAACACGGUCCAGACUCCUACGGGAGGCAGCAGUGAGGAAUUUUGCGCAAUGGGGGCAACCCUGACGCAGCAACGCCGCGUGAGUGAAGAAGGCCUUUGGGUCGUAAAGCUCUGUCAAUCGGGAAGAAGUUAUGGGAGUCGAAUAGGCUUUCAUAUUGACGGUACCGGUGAAGGAAGCAUCGGCUAACUCCGUGCCAGCAGCCGCGGUAAUACGGGGGAUGCAAGCGUUAUUCGGAAUUAUUGGGCGUAAAGGGCGCGUAGGCGGUUUUGUCGGUCAGAUGUGAAAGCCCAGGGCUCAACCCUGGACGUGCAUUUGAAACAGCAAGACCUGAGUACGGGAGAGGAAAGCGGAAUUCCUGGUGUAGAGGUGAAAUUCGUAGAUAUCAGGAGGAACACCGAUGGCGAAGGCAGCUUUCUGGACCGAUACUGACGCUGAGGCGCGAAGGCGUGGGUAGCGAACAGGAUUAGAUACCCUGGUAGUCC